rnacentral:lncRNA from 10 species
AGCAAGACUCUGUCAAAAAAAAAAAAAGACAGAAAGAAAGAAAGAAAGAAGGGAAAUCCUUAACUUUAGUGAUAUAAAAUAAAAUAAAAUACACAAAUGACAUGACAUGAUAUUUGGGAUUUACUUCCAAUUAAUUCAGGGGAGAGCAUGAAGGUGGGUGCAUUGCUGUGCUGUGGGUAUAUGGGGUGUACUGUACUUUGAUAUAUGUUUGAACUUUGCCAUAAUAAAAAGUUGAAAAAAUAUAUGAAGCAUGGAUGAGUCAAUGAGCAUGCAAGAAAAGAUGGGAAUUCUCCCACAAGAAAAAAUAAAGGGGAGAAGACGGGAGGAGGAGAGGAAAGAGGGAGGAGAUGGGAGGAGGAGAAGAGGAAAGAGGGGGAAGAUGGGAGGAGGAGGAGAGGAAAGAAGGGGAAGAUGGGAGGAGGAGGAGAGGAAAAGGGGGGAAGAGAAAGAGGGGCAUUUGUCGAUCUGAGAUCUUGGUUUCUGAGGUUGCCGUGGAAAGUGGUAGACAGGUCCUUGGGUCAGAGUAACCAGGAGAGAUUUUUUCCGAGACAUUUCCACUAAGCAGGCACUCUCACAUGGCUACACCCUCAACAGAAGGAACAGUCGCAGAAAGGCCGUUCAUUCCAGAGGGAGAGUCAAGGAAACAUUUGUAUUGGGCCUGCGCUCCGGGGUUAAAAAGAAACCCCAGAACUCUCCAUGAAUGUGUAGGGUAAGUUUGGGAUUCAAAUCUAUACUUCCUCUGUGUCCCAGAAACAACCUACUAAGAAAAUGUGAGAGCCAACAAAACAAUUUCAGCCAACAAAACGAAAACAAACAAACACAAAACUAGCAAAUUAGAAUCCCAAGGUUUUACUAAAUACAGCCAUUCUUUGAAUAAUUAUCGAGCACCUUCAAGGGCAACACUAUGGUCAGUGAGGACACAGCAGCAAACAAAACAGAAUAUGAGAGUGACCAGCUAGAGAUGAUAAAACAACUGUGCUUAUUACAAUGCUCAAAGAUUUAUGAGAAAGGAUUGGAAACAUGACCAAGGAACAAUGCACGAGUAUAAAAAGAACAGGCAAGGCCGAGCGCACUGGCUCACACCUGUAAUCCCAGCACUUUGGGAGGCCGAGGCAGGCGGAUCACCCGAGGUCAGGAGUUUGAGACCAGCCUGGCCAACACGGUG